AAUAAAAAAAUUAAAAAUAAUAGAAAAUCAUAUUUAAAUUAAUUAAAACUUUAAAAUAAUUAUAACAAAGAAAAUUAAAAUUAAAUCUAAACAUAAAUUAAAAUACAAAAAUUAAAUUAAAUUACAUAAAUAUAUUUUUCUUUCUCCUAUUUCUCUCUCAUUCCACUCUUUCUUCUCUCCUGCAUCUAGUCGGCCCUAGCAGCUCCUCCAUUGCAGGUCAUGCCCUUUCGUCUCUUCCACCAUGCAUUUCCUCCACGACAAUAGAUCAACGAUGAUGUGAUAGUGCUUUCUCUGCUCUCCGACCUUUGGAUGUGAUGGUUGUGGCGAUUAGCGAUGGUAGGUUAUGGGCAGGUUGAACGAUGAUGGGUUAUGGGCUAUGGGCGAUUACAACGACUAAUAAAGGUCGAAGGAUGAAGGGUAUAUAGUGGAAGGGGACACUUGUGAUAUGGAUGAUUUGUUGAUGAAUUGGUGGAAAGUAGAAACCCUAACUCUAGGUCUGAUCUGGAAAAAUGGGGAGCAAUAAUGUCUCUGAUACGCAAAUGAAACAAUGACUAAAGGUCGAAGGACGAUGGGUAGUGGGCUUCGAUCUAGGCUAUUGUGGAAGUCUAUGGAGAAUGUGAGCAAGAAUAGAAGCAACCGGUUUGGGGAAAUCUGGGUUUGGGCUUUGGUUUGAUAGGUGAUGAAGAAGAAGAAAUCUGAGUUUGUUUUUUAAAUUUUGAUUUAAGAUAGACUUAAUUUUGUUUAACUUUUGUUUUGUUUUGUUUUUUUAUCAAGUUUAGGAUUAAUUAUGGUUAGAUGCAAUCCAGAUUUUAAGUUUUAGAUUCAAUUUUGUAUUUUUUUUAUUGUUUAAUAAAGUUUUAAUUUAUUUAA